rnacentral:lncRNA from 1 species
CAGGGCAAUAUUGCUGCAUCUCAUCUCCCUGUUUCUUUGCCACAGGGAUUGUCUGUCUUCUGCAAGUGACAACACAUCUUAGUGUUUGAGAGAGAAUGAAGCAAGUGAGAGAAGGUGACUCAUGCAGUUGUGUGGAUCUCCUGCCAUCAUUAUAAGUCAUGGCGUCUCUGCUGGGCCUUCCCUUGGACCGUCAUUUGAAGUAAUGUCGGGAUGAGAGGCAUCAAAGCAAAUAACUUCAGUCCCCCAGAUUGACAUCAUCACGAGUUCUACCAAGUUGCUAAUGCCAGAGUCCUCUAUGAGCCAUCUCCAUCCGGGGCACGGGUUACUACAAAAUGAUGGCACUCCUCCCUCUCUGUGAGUCAGACCCACGUAAGGAAAAGCUGUGGGAGGAGAAAGGCUCCUAAUUCCACUCUGUUCCCAAGAAGAGCAGAGUGACCUUGGUCUCAUUACUCAUCUGUGUUCUGGCUCUGGAGCAGAAAGCGGAUGGGGGAGAUUGCCUCCUCCCUCAGAUCUACCUCUCGGGCCUUGCACUGACCACUCCAGCACCCCGUAAUCCCCCCACCCCCUCCUGCUCCAACCAGGCUCAAGGAAAGCAAAUGCUUGGUUGACUUUGGCAGCCAAAGACUCCCGAGGCUUUGCUAAGGUUCACCCCAGUUCGUGCCUUCAGGUGUCCUUGUCUCUCUGGAAAGCCAGCUCCCUCAAGAUUUGUAACUUGGCUUUGGUCAAAUAGCUAUGAAAUGGAAUGCUGUAUCUCAAGAUUGAUAGCCCAGUGGGCAUCAAGAUCUCAUUUGUUUCCUGCCCAGGAAAUUUUUCAGUGGAGGAGAGCUAGCAGGGCCCACUGAAACACCACAACGAGGAGCUUCCUGGGACCAGGCCUUGUAACUUGUCUCUGCUGCCACUCUUUGUGAGCGGGGUGGGGGAGAGGGGCACUAAUGGGUUCACUACUGAGGUAGCUCCAGAGUGCUCUUCCCCAAGGAAGAGGACUCUGAGGACCAAACUGUCAUUUCCCCAGCUAUACCUGCUGGUGUCUUGUUAUUGAAUCACUUGAUCAAAGAGGGCUACCUUGCUCAAGCUUAUGACCACUCCAUGGGGACAUCUUAAAUCUCAUGAUUGAACAACAUGGAGUCCUACUCCUUGCCUCUGCAGGCUAGCUCUGAGACCUCCGAGGUCAUUCGGUGCUGGCCCAGGCCUCUGCGCUGAGUGCAACAGAGUUCACCUUUUCUUCCACCCAGCCCCGAUACCCCUCACAGUUGGGUCUCUCUAGAGCCCAAUGCCUGAUUGCAUUCUGUCUCGUCUCAUCACAUCUGUUUCUUGGGAAACCUCACUUGUGACAGCCCUCCCAGCAUGCCCUGGGAGAAGAGCUGUCUAACGA